ACUUUGUUACAACAGAUAGAUGAGGAGAGAUGGCCUUUUCGUCUAAAAGAAAGAUUACAAUAAGGGAUUUGGAAGAAGGUGAUUUAAUUGAGUUUUACCGUGCAAUGGGGACGUUUUCUCACUGGGCUGUUUAUGUUGGUAAUGAAGAAGUCAUUCAUUUAUCACCGGAUCCUGAUGUUGCUACGGGAAAAUUUAAUCUGACAAACAUCAAAAGUGGCACUAGCGAAGAGACAACAUAAAAAUAGUUGCAGAAGGGUCAAAGACAUACCGAAACAAUGAGUUUGACGAUGAACUUAGGCCCUUUAAUAAAGCAGAAAUCGUUAAGCGAGCAAAAAAGAGACUUGGUAGGCGUGGGUAUAAUUUAGCGACCAACAAUUGUGAACACUUUGCCACAGAGUGUAGAUAUGGACAGGCUAAAAGCAAACAGGUGAAAGCUAUCGAAGAAAGAACAUAUGACUGGAUCACACCGUCUUUUUAUCGAGCUUGGCAAACAGGAGACGUGACUAAAUUUCUAGCACCGCCUGUCCACCAGAUUAUUGGCAAAGUUUUCUACUCCCCACCUGGUGACUUGGUGAUCUGGUGAAAAAAUAAAUAAUGCAGUUGCAUAAGAUAAUCAGAACAAAACAGCCUUCUUUCACUUUCAUAUUUUGUAAAAAAUGAAAGUAUAAUCAAUUGAUUUAUCUUGUUUGAAGUGGAAAAUCUGUGUGCAACUUUGACUUAACACUUUGUAACUUGAAUAUCAAUACACAUUAUUUAAACCGUUUUCUCCUUAUCAAAAUAAAUACAUGAAAGUUAUAAAUUUACUGUUGAUCUGUUUUAACGUUACCUUUAUUCAAUCACAUAAGGAGGCCGUUUUGAAAUAUGGCACGCUCAUCUAAUUCCAUAC